AUUAAAUUACUUUAAGUUUUUUAAAAUAUAAUUUAUAUAAUUAUAAAUUAUUAUUAUUAUUAUAUAUAUAUUUUUAUUAAUAUAUAAAAUUAUAAAUUACUUUUUAAGCUAAUAAAUUUAAUAUAUUAUAAUAUAUAUAAUAUUUUUAAAAUUAUAUAUUAUUAUUAAAUUAACUAGAUAUAAUUAUUAAUUAUAUUAUUAGUAAAUCCUGGUAGUUAACU
rnacentral:tRNA from 1 species